AUGAACAGAUUCCUGGGAAUAUCUUUGGUGACUCUAUGGUUUCGAGUGGCCUGGGCAAAGAGCCAAUGGGGAGAAGAGAAUCUUCAGGCUCUGAGCAUCCAGGAGGGUGAAGAUGUCACCAUGAACUGCAGUUACAAGACUUAUACAACUGUUGUACACUGGUACAGGCAAGACUCAGGCAGAGGCCCUGCCCUGAUAAUCUUAAUACGUUCAAAUGAGCGAGAGAAGCGCAGUGGAAGACUAAGAGCCACCCUUGACACCUCCAGCCAAAGUAGCUCUCUGUCCAUCACUGCUGCUCAGUGUGAAGACACUGCUGUGUACUUCUGUGCUACAGAUG